AAUGAUAGUUUGUGGGUUUAAAAUAAUGAAAUUAAAAUGAACUUCCAGAGUUCCACUUCUGCAAAAUUCUAACUUCUAUAGAAGACACUGAUCGUAUUUUAUACCGUUGAUUAAAUUGUAAUUGCUUGUUUCAGGUCACCUGAACAUUUACAUCAUGACCGUCUUAUUUUCAUCUGAGAUGAUGUUACACAUGUUUUCCUCAUCGUUCAUGUGUUUACAGCUUUUUAUCAUUUCAUUUGAAAAUGUGAAAAGAAUCACAUUUCACGUGAAGUUUUUUUAUGUAAGGGUAGCACAAUGAAAUGAGACUAUUAGUGAUGUUUAAACGGGGGUUGUGGGUUGUUUUUUUUUUUCUUCCAUUUUCUUCCACUUCUUGAGUUUGAGCACCCACUUGUGGUAAUAUUAGCCAUGCUAGAACUUUAUUUUAUGGUGUUUUAAUAAAUGCCACAGUUAUCGAAUAACCUCUAUUAAUAUUUUGGUUCAGUUGUAAGAAAUGGGUUCAGUUUAAGUUCUGUAGAGUUAGACAAUCUAAGAAAAAUGUAUAAGUGAAGUGAGAAAUGGGUGACUUUUUUAUUUUAUUAGGGGGAAAAAACUGAGUCAUUUACAGUCUCACAGUAACGUACAGACUCCGAUGUACAGUCUCAACAUAACGUACAGACUCCGAUUUACAGUCUCACAGGAACUUACAGUCAUUACAGUCUCACAGGAACUUACAGACUCCGAUUUACAGUCUCAGAGGAACUUACAGUCAUUAAAGUCUCACAGUAACGUACAGACUCCGAUGUACAGUCUCAGAGGAACUUACAGACUCAGUGAUGUACAGUCUCACAGUAACGUAACAGACUCCGAUGUACAGUCUCAGAGGAACUUACAGUCAUUUACAGUCUCACAGUAACAUACAGUAAUGUACAGUCUCACAGGAACUUACAGACUCCGAUGUACAGUCUCACAGGAACUUACAGACUCAGUGAUGUACAGUCUCACAGGAACUUACAGACUCAGUGAUGUGCAGUCUCACAGUAACGUACAGACUCCGAUGUACAGUCUCACAGGAACUUACAGACUCAGUGAUGUACAGUCUCACAGGAACUUACAGACUCAGUGAUGUACAGUCUCACAGGAACUUACAGACUCAGUGAUGUACAGUCUCACAGGAACUUACAGACUCAGUGAUGUGCAGUCUCACAGUAACGUACAGACUCAGUAAUUUAGUGUCACAGGAACUUAUAGUAACUUACACUCUCACAGGAACUUACAGACUCAGUGAUUUACACUCUCACAGGAACUUACAGACUCAGUGAUUUACACUCUCACAGGAACUUACAGACUCAGUGAUUUACACUCUCACAGGAACUUACAGACUCGGUGAUUUACACUCUCACAGGAACUUCGUCUCACAGUAACGUAUCAUCUUAAAGUAACUUACAGGAACUUACAAUCUCACAAGAAUUUAUAGUAACUUACAAUCUUACAGGAACUUACAGUAGUGUACAGGAAUUUAUGAUCUCAUAGUAACUUACAGUCUCACAAUAAUGUACUGUCUUAAAGUACCUUACAGUCUCACAGG
ensembl:lncRNA